AUUUAAAGGUAUUAUUCAUUUUCUUCAUUAAACUCUUCUGCUCUUAAAUGUUUUUCUUUUUAGUGAGCGUCCACUGUUUUCACCAUCAGAAAAAGAAAAACAAGCAUUAAAAAUAAACAAAGCACACAUCCCCUUCCUUGGAGGAAAGAAGAUAAUCCCCUGGCUUCUGAGAGCUCACGUAUCACCUGGCAGAUUAAAUAUGAGAAUUGUAUUACCUGAAUGGAGAAAGAAGAUACCCUCGUUGCUGCUGUGAU
ensembl:lncRNA